UAGCGUAGUCGGCAGAGCCGUUGACUUUUAAUCAAUGGGUCGCAGGUUCGAGCCGAGCG
rnacentral:tRNA from 1 species